rnacentral:tRNA from 1 species
GACUUUGUAGCUUAGUGGUAAAGCAGGCACCUAGAGUAGCCCUUUCCCGGUUUGAGUCCCGGUGGAGUCA